ACCUGAGUGGCUCAGUCGGUUGAGCAUCUGACUUUGGCUCAGGUCAUGAUUCCACAGUUUGUGAGUUCCAGCCCCGCAUCAGGCU
rnacentral:tRNA from 1 species